CCCGGCUCCGUCGCGACCGGCGGCGGCCGCGUCUAGACGACAUCAGCGGGAUGCGGUGCAAGCGAUGGUGGCGGCUGGCGGCGGCAGGUUCAAGGUCGCGGGGCAGGGCAAGCAUCCGUCGAGGAAAAAGAGGCAACGCCUGAAUUAGGAGAGGAGAAUAGCAGGCGAACCUGCCUAGGAAUCGGAGUGGCUGCACGUCGGCUAGCAGCAGAAGGAUGGACUACGAUUCGUGCUUCCGCACCGCCGCUGUACAUUUCUUCUUCCCAGCAUUGAGGAGAACGACCUGGAGCCUACCAUGCCCCGGAUGUGGUCAGCUUUGAGAUCAGCAAACACUAGGUUCUCAUGUUCUUUUGUUUUCUGACCCGGAUACAACGAUCGGGUCCUCCUUAGUUUACCCUUUCAUCCCGUUUCCCUCCUACCACUAGCUACAGAAGACAAGUCAACCCUAUAAGAGUAUACUGAGCUAUGACGAGAAAAUGGUGCUGCAAUUGUUGGGCUAGCUUGCCUCAUGAAUUGUUUUGGAAUUUGAUUGAAAGGUUGGACUUUGCUGGUGUGCUUUGGUUGGUUAUUUAGCACUCUUUGAUAUAGAUGCUGCUGCAACACAAACUUCAGAUUCUACAAUGAACGGAUAAUGAAUCAGCAGUUACCGCCGGAAAGUUUGAUGAUGUGUUAGAUACUAUAGGAGUACCUGAAUCUGAAAGAAUCGGUAUUAAUCUUCUGAGGAGAAGUGGACAUUAUAUGGCCGUUCAGGAAGAAGCAGCUGCACCAGCAGAUAGAUACGGAUUACUUGUGGGACUUCCUGCUGCUACUACUGCUUUACUAAACGAGCAGAUGCACUAUCGUUGUUACCAUGGAAUAGGUAUACAGCUUACUCAUUCCACGGUUCCUUUUUCUGGCAGCUGUCCUUUUUAUGUGCCACUGCCAUCACUAGAGAAGAUUUUUCCGUGGAGAAGAAGGAAAUUAAAACUUCGAAGAAGCCUGCACUAUUCAGAUUGUUUUUCAUAAUAGAGGUGUUUCCUUUCACUUUAUUAGGAUUAAGAUCAAGAACUUUCUUUCAGUCGAUUACUUCUCUGUUACUCUUCAUCUGUUUAAGUUUGUUCAACUCUAUGCGUUUUGAAAAUAUGUUUCCAUGUAUUCCUAAAAUUCAGCAGAAUAGUAGUACCUCAAACUUAGAUGGA